rnacentral:rRNA from 1 species
ACUGCUCAGUAACACGUGGAUAACCUGCCCUUGGGUCUGGGAUAACCCCGGGAAACUGGGGAUAAUACCGGAUAACGCAUAUAUGCUGGAAUGCUUUAUGCGUAAAAUGGAUUCGUCUGCCCAAGGAUGGGUCUGCGGCCUAUCAGGUAGUAGUGGGUGUAAUGUACCUACUAGCCUACAACGGGUACGGGUUGUGAGAGCAAGAGCCCGGAGAUGGAUUCUGAGACAUGAAUCCAGGCCCUACGGGGCGCAGCAGGCGCGAAAACUUUACAAUGCGGGAAACCGUGAUAAGGGGAUACCGAGUGCCAGCAUCAUAUGCUGGCUGUCCAGAUGUGUAAAAUACAUCUGUUAGCAAGGGCCGGGCAAGACCGGUGCCAGCCGCCGCGGUAACACCGGCGGCCCGAGUGGUGAUCGUGAUUAUUGGGUCUAAAGGGUCCGUAGCCGGUUUGGUCAGUCCUCCGGGAAAUCUGAUGGCUCAACCAUUAGGCUUUCGGGGGAUACUGCCAGGCUUGGAACCGGGAGAGGUAAGAGGUACUACAGGGGUAGGAGUGAAAUCUUGUAAUCCCUGUGAGACCACCUGUGGCGAAGGCGUCUUACCAGAACGGGUUCGACGGUGAGGGACGAAAGCUGGGGGCACGAACCGGAUUAGAUACCCGGGUAGUCCCAGCCGUAAACGAUGCUCGCUAGGUGUCAGGCAUGGCGCGACCGUGUCUGGUGCCGCAGGGAAGCCGUGAAGCGAGCCACCUGGGAAGUACGGCCGCAAGGCUGAAACUUAAAGGAAUUGGCGGGGGAGCAC